rnacentral:rRNA from 1 species
AACGAACGCUGGCGGCAUGCCUAACACAUGCAAGUCGAACGAGACCUUCGGGUCUAGUGGCGCACGGGUGCGUAACGCGUGGGAAUCUGCCCUUAGGUUCGGAAUAACUUCGGGAAACUGAAGCUAAUACCGGAUGAUGACGUAAGUCCAAAGAUUUAUCGCCUAAGGAUGAGCCCGCGUUGGAUUAGCUAGUUGGUGAGGUAAAGGCUCACCAAGGCGACGAUCCAUAGCUGGUCUGAGAGGAUGAUCAGCCACACUGGGACUGAGACACGGCCCAGACUCCUACGGGAGGCAGCAGUGGGGAAUAUUGGACAAUGGGCGAAAGCCUGAUCCAGCAAUGCCGCGUGAGUGAUGAAGGCCUUAGGGUUGUAAAGCUCUUUUACCCGGGAUGAUAAUGACAGUACCGGGAGAAUAAGCUCCGGCUAACUCCGUGCCA